UACAGAGGUGGCAAGCGUUGUUCGGAAUUACUGGGCGUAAAGGGCGCGUAGGCGGCCUUCUAAGUCAGACGUGAAAUCCCCCGGCUUAACCUGGGAACUGCGUCUGAUACUGGGAGGCUUGAGUAUGGGAGAGGGAUGCGGAAUUCCAGGUGUAGCGGUGAAAUGCGUAGAUAUCUGGAGGAACACCGGUGGCGAAGGCGGCAUCCUGGACCAACACUGACACUGAGGAGCGAAAGCCAGGGGAGCAAACGGG
rnacentral:rRNA from 1 species